rnacentral:lncRNA from 10 species
ACCGUAUAGCCUAGGUGUGUGGGCGGCUGUAUCAUCUAGGUUUCUGUAAGUACACUCUAUGACGUUCACACAACAACUAAAUCAGGCAGCAAUACAUUUCUCAAAAUGCAUCCUGUCGUUAGCAAUACAUGGUUGCACUUACAUAAAAGAAAAUUUCAAUGGACUUUAAAUUGUGACAUUUCUUUUUUAAAUAUUGUGGUAAAAUAUACUUACCAAAAUUUACUAUUUUAAGCAUUUUUAAGUGUAUAAUUCAGUGAACAUGACUUUUCUUUUUUAUAGAGACGAGGUCUUGCUAUUACACAGGCUAGUCUCAAACUCCUGGCCUCAAGUGAUCCUCUUGCCUCGAUCUCCAAAAGUGCUAGAAUUACAGGUGUGAGGCACCAAGACCAGCUGACUUUUGAUAACACUUUCCCCUUUCUAUAAUUUUUCAUCAAUCAGUGUAUGUCCUUUUUUUUUUUUUUUUUUUUUUUGAGUCAAGGUCUCACUCUGUUGACUAGGUUGUACUCAAACUCCUGGCCUCAAGUGAUCUCACCUCAGUCUCCAAAAGUGCUGGGAUUACUUACAAACGUGAGCCAACAAGACUGGCUGAUGAUAUUUUUGUUUUUGUUUUUGUUUUUGUUUUUAGAUGGGGUCUCACUGUGUUGCCCAGGCUAGACUCCAGUGGCAUGAUCACAGCUCACUGCAGCCUAAACCUCCCACACUCAAGCAUCUUCCCAAAUCAGCCUCCAGAACAGCUUAGACCACAGAUGAGGUCUUGCUAUAUUGAG